AGGCAAUUGCAACAUUUUUUAGCUGUGUUAUGUCUGCUAUUGGAGGAAACAGUGCUGGUCCUGGCAAUGCUGUGGUUAAUGUGUACAUCAAGCACGAGAAGAAGUUUGCUUUUAUGGAUAUGAGAAAUGUUGAAGAAGUGAGCAAUGCAAUGGCAUUAGACGGGAUAACGUUUGAGGGAAGACGAUCCAUGUCCUGAACAAAAAUGAGCAUGCUCUUGAUAUGGCUGCAGCACUUCAUCACCAAUUAGGAGAUAUUGACGAGCCAAACGAUGGCAAUGCCUCAGUGAAGUAGAGAACUAAUGUGAUACUUCUUGGUGAUCGCUUUGGAGAUCUAGGAAUGUCUGAUGGUUUGAACUAUGAGAACCAAAUUGCUGUUGGAUUCUUAUGGAAGGACAAUCCAGUAAUGCAAGAUUCGUGAAUUCCCAGUAUGUUUGUUAUCCUUGGGUUUUCAUAUUGCUUUAUGGGAAGCUGUGCAGGCAUUAAAAUUAAUUUACAAGAUCCAUGUUUGUAGUUUAAACUUUCUUGAAGAAUUAGAUUAUUUUGAGAGCUUAUAUAAUCAUCCCUAGCGAUUUUUUGCUAUUUUUUCACUUGAUUUUGCAAUUGA